UCGCUGGUUUUGUGCCCCGGUUUUCCCUGUAUUCUGUAUCCUUUGCGGAUUUUUUAUCGAUUGUAUCCCGCUACAGUUUGAUACUUUGCAGGAAAUCCCAGAUCUUGGCAUUUUUUCUCCGUUCCCUUUUUAAUUCGAUCUAAAUGCAAUAGUAUAUAUACUACCGGUGCUCACUGCAGACGACCAAAGCUUAUCGUUCUUCUCAAGUUCACCAAUAGACAAUUCUACUGUGAAAACCCCAAAACCAACCACAUCAUGCAUAAGUACUUGGCUUGGUUCAUUUUCGCCGUUGCUACUCUCUGGAUGAUCGCCGGCUCGAUGGCUCAAGGCAAUUGUCUUCCUGACGGAGCUCCAUGCCAGGCGGACGGAUCCAUGGGCAAUUGCUGCACCACGUUUUGCUUGCAACAUGAUCAGCCAGGCGGAACUCCUGGACAUUGCACAACCAGAUCCUAAAACUCAUUCCAAUCCCUCCGAAAAAUACGCCCCGUCGAACUCAUCUCAAACCCGGUUCACACUUGCCUAGGGUCGUAUGAUCUUGGUAAAGUCAUGAGCAAAAAUCAUUUGUAAAUUUAUUUUUGUAUUAUCCUAAAUAUGAACAGUUUAAUAAAUCAACCUCAUACAGCUAA